AAAAAUUAGAAUUCCUUCAUUUUGUCAGCUUUUUUUCUCUCUCUCUAAAACUCUUGCCCUAAAAUUCUCUCUGCUUUCUCUCUAGAUUUUCACUGAACCGAUCAAAUUUUGUUUUGAAGGUGUUUCUGCGCUCGCUACACCAAGGGCUUCAGUUUGAACCGAACGUUUUUCCAUUUUGACCAGUGCUGUCAAACUCACCUCUCUGAGGAGGUACUGCUAGAGCGUUCCUAAAAGUGGUAUUGUUAAGCUUUCCAAGUAAGGGGAGCUAAUUAUUUUUGAAUGAAUUUAUUUUAUAAAAAUAUAUGCAUAUGAAUGUUGAACUGGUAUUUUUGAAUGAAUUUUUGAACUGGUUGCUGUGAGAGGAAGUGAAAAUAUUAAAAUUAGGCAUUUCAGAUUUAGAGCAUAAGAGAACAGGGUAGAUAAUUUAAAUAAAUUAAUUGUUAAUUGUUGAGAGUUUUUCUUUGUUGGUAGGAUAGAGGAACCUUAAAAACCUCAGUUGGCACAUUCCUGAUCAUAGAGCAGUCCUGACCUGGUCCAGUCAGUUGUGACUAGUCAUAUGUGCUGGCGUCGAAGGUAUGUAUAAAUUGAUGCAUUUUAUGAGCUGUUAUGGGUUAGUUGGAGCUAUUUGGUUCUUGGUAUUGAUUAACUUAGAUUCAAUUGUGGAGAUGUUAUUUUUAUAAUUUGUGAGUGGUGAGUAAUGUAUAUUGUUGAGAUUGUGUAUAUGUUUAUUGUGGCAGAAAGUAUAUGAUUACAAAGUGAUGAAAGUAUGAUCCAAGUUGUAAAUCAAGUUCCAUCUGUGUAGGAUCUCUUGGUGAGAUCCUUAGUGUUUUAGAAUGAAAGUAGGAGCUCAGUCUUGGGGGUCAUUCUGAAACUCCAAUGGCUAAUCAUACUCAAGUAGAGGGAUUAAUUCAUGUGGUGAGGAGUAGCAGGAGGUCUUAGUCUUGGGAGCUUCCAGUAUGCCUCAAGGCCCGGAACAGGCUAACCUCGUGAGUGUGGCAAGGUGGGGAACCCAAGUUUCAUAAGUCACCACGAGUGCAGGAUCCGCCAUAGCUCGACUAUCAUUCUAAAGUCCGGACGAGUCAAGUCUAGAAGAUAACAUGCUAGGAUGUAUGCCUUAAACUGCUUUGAUUUAAGUUAACUAUUGUGUGUUAUGUGCUUGAUAUGAUGCAUGCUUUUAUAUAAUUAGCUCACCCUUGCUUGUUUGUGUGCUUGUUGUAUGUGUUUUCUUUUGCAAUGAUCAUCCACUUGGAUGUGAGUAGAAGAAGAUGAGGUUUCUUUGGAGGCAACAUUGGAGAGAAAUGAAGAUGAUGUUACAGCUUAGACUCACUAGGAAUUCUUAGUUCUCUUAUGUCAUUUUGAAGAACUUAUUAUGUUUUAAGUUUCAAAUUCUGGACAUAUUUUGGAAUACUCUAGUGUUUGAAGUUUUAAUUUCUUAGUAAAUUCUAGAAAACUGUAAUCUUAUAAUACUUUAAGUACAUCUCUUAACUGUUUUCUAAUAUUAU